GUAGGGCUAAACUUUAACCCGUGUCGUAUCAGAUAUUUAUAAUAAUUAGAAGUAUUAAAUAUAGAUUAAUUAUUAAACUAAUUGCACAGAUGGAGGCUAAUUCGCGAGAUGAAUCUAUUAAACUUAAUUAGUCUAAUUGAUUUAUCUCGUGAAUUUGUUCAGAGCUUCUGCAAUUAGUUUUAUAAUUAGCUCAUAUUUAGUCCUUCUAAUUAGGAUCCGAACAUCUGAUGUGACAAGUGAUAAACUUUAACCCUACAUCCC
rnacentral:lncRNA from 1 species